UACGUAGGGGGCAAGCGUUGUCCGGAUUUAUUGGGCGUAAAGAGCGUGUAGGCGGCUUGGCAAGUCCGCUGUGAAAACCCGAGGCUUAACCUCGGGCCUGCAUUCGAUACGGGCUGACUAGAGUUCGGUAGGGGAGACUGGAAUUCCUGGUGUAGCGGUGAAAUGCGCAGAUAUCAGGAGGAACACCGGUGGCGAAGGCGGGUCUCUGGGCCGAUACUGACGCUGAGGAGCGAAAGCGUGGGGAGCGAACAGG
rnacentral:rRNA from 1 species